rnacentral:rRNA from 1 species
CCUACGGGAGGCAGCAGUGGGGAAUAUUGGUCAAUGGGCGUAAGCCUGAACCAGCCAAGUCGCGUGAGGGAUGAAGGUUCUAUGGAUCGUAAACCUCUUUUAUAAGGGAAUAAAGUGCGGGACGUGUCCCGUUUUGGAUUUACCUUAUGAAUAAGGAUCGGCUAACUCCGUGCCAGCCGCCGCGGUACUGCGGAGGAUCCGAGCGUUAUCCGGAUUUAGUGGGUUUAAAGGGUGCGUAGGCGGCCUGUUAAGUCAGCGGUGAAAGUCUGUGGCUCAACCAUAGAAUUGCCGUGGAAACUGGGAGGCUUGAGUAUGAUUGAGGCAGGUGGAAUGCGUGGUGUAGCGGUGAAAUGCUUAGAUAUCACGCAGAACCCCGAUUGCGAAGGCAGCCUGCUAAGCCAUGACUGACGCUGAGGCACGAAAGCGUGGGGAUCAAACAGGAUUAGAUACCCCAGUAGUC